GGCUCUUGCUUAAUAUACUUUUAUGCCAAUCAUAUACAUUAGUAUUUAGUGACUGAUUUAUUUUCCAAUUCACAAUGUAUUAUGUUGAGUUGUUUUGAUUUGUAAUUGUAUGACUGACGCUUUAAUAUUCAAAGCAUGCGUAGUAUAUUCUUUGAGUAUUUGUUGUAUUGUAUAUCUGUGACUGGUUCUAUAUCAGACUGGCGACAUUUGUGGCCUGUUCUUGAUUGAUAGAAUAUUACAGUAAACUGAAACCGAAACUGAUUAGCAGCUUCAUCAUCUUUUCGUGCCAUCUUAAGAAACAAUUGAAUUACUGAUGCGUAUUAUACCACAGCUGACACUAGGAAACCAUGCGACAACGAAAUUAUGAGAAGACUGGUAUGCUCCGUUGCCUGGAAAUUGAGUUCCUCAGUCUUUCCGCGGUCUUUCCGCGAGUCGCGUUGCCGUUUUAACAAUUUGCGCUGUUUCCUUCAGGAACGUGUGGUUAACACAGGCUGAAAACAGUUCUCCCACAAACUUUGAUUUUGAUUUCGGCUAGUAGAUGUUCGUGUAAUAGAACAGACGGAUCUAGCAAUAAUAUUAAUAUUUUUAUUAAUCCUUGAGAAAGUGUGUGUGUGUGUGUGUUGAUACUAUUUAUGUAUGUGACGUACGGGGUACAAGGGAGACGAGACGUAAUGAGCUUGACAAGUAUUAGCUGAUAAUUUUACAUGCGAUAUCCAUCUGUGUCUUGAGGUGAAGUAUGAGCAUAAUGAAAUAUUUACUAAGCAUUUUAAGUGAUCUGUAAAACUAUGUACUGUAGGUUAUUUGCAGAUGUAUACAAAGGCCGCUAAGCAGACUGCCGAAUUCCUCGUGAAGAGACGUCAUAUCCUGAAUAUUACGUCACAAAGCGCUCAAUUCGAAUUUAUUGAACAUCACAUACACAAUGACACUUACGUUGAAUCCCAACGUGGAAAGGAAGAGAGAAAGAUGCCAAAAGUGACGGACACUCAACAGGCGGAACAGAGAAGAAAGUUCUGGGAGCAGGAGGAAGAGUUUGAGUCUCAGGUAGAUUAUAGCAGGCUGAGUGGAGCUGAACAAUUAAUUCAUUUGACCCACGCAGAAGCUGUCAGAAAGGGCCACUUUACCUAUGAUGACCCAGAGAAUGGAGAGAGAGUGUUCACCCGACUCCGACACUUUCUUAAAGGUUCAUGUUGUGGAAGUGCAUGCAGACAUAACAAUAUCACACCAGCAGUCUGCUAGUUUUGUACAACAUCCUCUCAUUGACUGACUGCCUUCUCAGCUGCUGAUAUGAUUUCCUCAUGUACUACAAAUCCUGUCCCUAAUUGAUACCUGUCAUUUCCACUUUCAUGUAAGUGUAUCUACAAUCAUAUAAAAGUCCCAGAAAUUAAAAAGAGAGUAUGUAUAUUCAACACUGCAUACUGGAUAUAUGGUGAGAAUAUGGAAGUCACUGCUGAUGUGACCGAAAGCUUUAACAAAGUAAAACCACUGAUAAGAAAGAAGCAAGCUACAACCCAGAAGUUAACAAUUGAAAUAACCCCCACUAGUCCCAACAGAUAAUUAACGUCAAACAUACUGUGUUUAGUGUACUUUCUGAAAAUAGUGGACAUGGGAAAUUUUCUGCACUCUCACCAUUACCAAACUAAGUGAUCAACAAGUUCAUUGAGGAGGUCUGAGUGAAGGAAAUAUGGAAACAUCAUAAAGUAAAAUGUGUCUGUUUUCUGAGACAGUUGAGAUGUCCUUCAGAAAUUGAAUCUCAUGACAUGCAUGGUCAACAUGCAGCUCAACUAAGGUUCUUCAUGGUUUUCAUGUCCUCCCUGUGAAUACUAUAAAUGUACCUGGAUAUAGGACACAACAGCUUUCUUCCACAUCUCUCCAAAUGUACCAUUCUUAAUGUUACUCAAAAUCCAAUAGCCCCUGUAGACGAUACAGUCAUUUAGUAAUCUGUUACCAUAUUUCUGUUUUGGACAAGGGGACUUGCCAUUACAUUUUCUAUAUGGAGAAAAAACUUUUUUUUUUUCAUAUAAAAACCAGUGACAUGAGAAUGGCAUCUGGUCUGGUAAAAUAUGCAUGGAGAAUGGUGGUAAUGAAAUCUUAAAUUAAAAAUGGUGUAUCUUAUUCAACUAAGAAUGUAGUAGAAGAUAAAUCUGUAUAGCCUCAGAAUGUGGCCCUUGUAACUGUAGGAGAUAAAAUGCAAGGAAGAAUAAAUAGGAUAUGAACCUUGCUUGCUUAGAGCUGAUGUAAAUAAAAUAAUUAAGUUUA